UGGGGAAUUUUGGACAAUGGGGGCAACCCUGAUCCAGCCAUGCCGCGUGCGGGAAGAAGGCCUUCGGGUUGUAAACCGCUUUUGGCAGGAACGAAACGGUGCGGGCGAAUACCCUGUGCUAAUGACGGUACCUGCAGAAUAAGCACCGGCUAACUACGUGCCAGCAGCCGCGGUAAUACGUAGGGUGCGAGCGUUAAUCGGAAUUACUGGGCGUAAAGCGUGCGCAGGCGGUUGUGCAAGACAGGUGUGAAAUCCCCGGGCUUAACCUGGGAACUGCAUUUGUGACUGCACGGCUAGAGUUUGUCAGAGGGGGGUGGAAUUCCACGUGUAGCAGUGAAAUGCGUAGAUAUGUGGAAGAACACCGAUGGCGAAGGCAGCCCCCUGGGAUGAGACUGACGCU
rnacentral:rRNA from 1 species